UUGCUUUGGCAGAAUAUAUAUUAGAAUUGAAAUGAUACAGACAUUAGCAUGACCAUUGUGCAAGGGUGAUAUGCACAAUUGUGAAGCAUUCCAUAUUUUU
ensembl:snRNA U6 U6 spliceosomal RNA